rnacentral:lncRNA from 1 species
ACUUGUAGAGCAAGUUGUUCAUUUCUUUGGUCCAUACAAUAAUUGCAAUCCGUACGUGUCCCCUCACACCUUCAAUUUAUGCAUUCAAAAUCUUAUUAUAAAUACAGCCCAAAAAUGCAUUAGUUUCUUCAUCCCUCAAUUUUCAUAUUUCAUAAGUACUAAGCUUUGAAACAAAAAUAAAAGAAUUAAGAAGAAUGGGUUCCAAGGCAAUUAUGUUUCUUGGUCUUUUUUUGGCUAUUUUCUUAAUGAUAAGCUCUGAGGUUGCAGCUAGGGAGUUGGCAGCUGAGACUUCCAAUGGUAAGCAUUUCUUUUCAUUUGUUCCCUCUCUUAGGGUAUGUUCGAUAAAAAAAAAUAUUUUUCAUGAAAAAUAUUUUGUAAGAAAAUAUAAGUGACUUCUUUAUUUACUUUUUUGUGUUCAAUAUCGUGAUAUAAUCUAGACAGAUAUAUAAUUGGUGGGGUUGGAUGGUGACGGUGGGAUGAAGAUGGGGCGAAGAUAAAUAUGUUUGAUCAUAAAAUUUGUCUACUUUUUGAAAAUUAUUUGAAACAAAAUCCCAAAAUUUCAAUCACUAAUGCUGUAGUUUGAUCAUGACACUUAAUAUAUAUUCUUUUUGUUUCAUGUUAUACGUCUCAAUUACUAUGCAUAAAGUAUAAGAAUAUACCAUAAACUUCCCAAACUUUGCUAAACUAAACUAAAGGUAUGUAAAUUAUAUUAUAAAUGCCCUAUGAGUUUUGUGAUCUUAUGUUACAUUGAAAUUAAAAAAAUUACAAUUAAAUAUAUAUAGGAAGAGGAGUACUCAUUUUGAAAUAUAAUAAAAAGGAAAGUACGACAUAUAAAUUGAAGUGCAAUUCAAAGACUAGUAAUGACUCAUCGUACGUGUUAGCUAGUUUAAUUAAUCUUCACAAUUCAUCGAUGCAGCGGUAAACGUUGAUGGACAUUAUUAUGGAGGCGGCUAUGGUAAGGGCCAUGGAAAACCUAAGAAAUGUUAUAGUUGCUGCAAGAAAUACAAAUAUGGAUGCAAAAAAUACUGCUGCUCUUAUGAAGAAUAUGUGGCUGCCCAGACUCACAACUAAAUAAUUAAUUAUUAUUGUAAACUUUUGAAAUUAAGUGACAAGAUACUAAUAAUCUUGCUACUUAAGACCCUUUGCUUGUAACAAGUAUGAAUAAAGCCAUUCAUUUACAAUGAAUGGUUGGUCAUGAUGUAAUGUUUUGUUGUACAAUAUAUCAUAUUGUGUUAAAAAUGUUUCCCUAAUGUUAAGAUUUUCUUCUUAUUUUUACUUAAGUAUUCUAUCAUCCCUUAAUCAUAUGUUUCAAGAUUGAAUCCUGGUCCGAAUAUAGAAUUGUCUUUGUUACAUAGUAUUUUACUCUAUUUGAAUUUUUUACCGUGAAUCCAAUUUAUUUAAGGCAUCUCUAAUUAAGGAUAUUGAACAUUGAGGGGAAAUUUUAAAAUAUUUAAUUUUCUUGUUAUUUAAUAAAGUAAGGAAAACAAUGCAGAAAAAAAGAAACAAUUUGUUCUUUUCUUUGUAUAAUAUUUAAAAAAAUAUAAUCACAGAAGAAAUAAAAUUAAAGCAUGGGGGACAAACGACUAAUAAUGUCAAAUCAUCACUUAUUUUUUUAUUUCUAAUGAACACUUUAGUCAGGGCUGAAAUCGAAAUUUUAUGAAAACAUCACAACAUAUAAACAAAAAUGAACACAUGAGUAAAUUUUAAUGAUUCAAUAUAUGAUACAAUGUAGUAGCUUUUUUCGACGAAGGAGAGUCAAUUAACAAUAUUAGAUAAGGAUGGUUACAUCAUUAAUAUUCACGAUCACCAUUAAGGGCGUAUUUACCUUAAGCUCGCAAUAUAUAUAUGCAACGUCAACCAAAUAACUCACAUUAGGGGUGUACAAAAAUGAACCGAAAACCGAAUUAAACCGCAAAUCGAGAAAAAAAAAUCCGACUAGUGGUUGGUUUGACUUGGUUUGGUAUUGAAAAAAAAACCCAACUAUAUUUGGGUUGGUUUGGUUUUAACUAAAAAAAACCAACCCGAGACCAAACCAACACGUCAUUAUAUAUAUAAUUUUAAAAUUUAUUUUAUAUUUUAUACAUAAAAAUAUUUACUUUGAAAUAAUUUUUAAAUCUUUCUUAUACUUUUUCAUAGUUUUUAUCUUUUAAUAUAUUAUUNNNNNNNNNNNNNNNNNNNNNNNNNNNNNNNNNNNNNNNNNNNNNNNNNNNNNNNNNNNNNNNNNNNNNNNNNNNNNNNNNNNNNNNNNNNNNNNNNNNNNNNNNNNNNNNNNNNNNNNNNNNNNNNNNNNNNNNNNNNNNNNNNNNNNNNNNNNNNNNNNNNNNNNNNNNNNNNNNNNNNNNNNNNNNNNNNNNNNNNNNNNNNNNNNNNNNNNNNNNNNNNNNNNNNNNNNNNNNNNNNNNNNNNNNNNNNNNNNNNNNNNNNNNNNNNNNNNNNNNNNNNNNNNNNNGAAAACAAAAAUACAGAAUGAUUAUUAUGAAAAAAAUAAGUGAACAAAUGGGGUUCUUUUGUAUAUUUUAUUUUUUGUUAUUGCUGAAUUUGCCGAACUUUUACAGCUUGUUUGAGUACUUGUUACCUAUAUAGUUGUAUUUUGGUGGCGAAAUGGUCUAAUAGACCCCUGUACUUGUAUGAGUUUGUAUUGUGAACCCUUCUACUUAACUCUUUAUCAAUUGAACCCUUAAACUUAUAAAACACAAUUUAUCAAACCCCUCUGACCAUUGACUAGGCUUAUGUGGCAUCAAUAUGGUUGAGUUGGCAAGAGUGUGUGAAUUCACUCUCGUUAAGGCGAGUGAUAUCCUAUUUAAGUUUUAAAAAAUAUUAAAAAAUUAAAAAAAAAUAAAACAAUAAAACAAAAAAACUUUAAAAAAAAUAACUAAAAAAGGCUUUCUUCUUCCGCCAACAGGUUCACAUCCAUUUUUGGCCAUCUCCAUCCCUGUCCAAUCCAUUUUUCUUUCUUCUUCACACUCUUGUCAUCUUCUUUAGCAGAUCUUCGCAUUGGCACCUAGAGAGAGACGACGCAGGUCAGUGGAAGAAGAACGAGGCGGUUGAGGGUAGGAUCUGGUCACGACAGCGAAGAGGUUUUUCGGUCAGAUCUGGUGGCCAUGGUGCGACGGAGAUGAAGACGGGUGAGGAAGAGGGCACGUAUGGUCGCCGGCAAGAGUUGCGACGACGACUGAGACGGCGGCGAGGAGCCUCCUAGAAUAUUUGUAUGCCGGAGACAGUAAGGGGUUUCUUGGCCUUCUGAUACUCCGGAGAGGAUGAAGAGCAUAUCGGUCGGUGAUGGUGAGGGGAGAGAAGCUAGUGCGGUGGCUUAGGGUUUCUAGAUUUGUGGAGGUUAGAGAAGGAGAAAAGAAAAUGGUAAGGGUGUGCGAUGAAGAUGGAGGUUGGUGGGGAGAUCGUAUUUGUGGUCUCGCCGGCAAGAGGAGCGGCAACAGCAGCGACUUUUUCCGACAGUUGGGCCAUUUCACGGUGAAAAUGGAAGAUGAUGUGAGGAGACCCAAACUUUUAAUUUAAAAUAAUAAAUUAAAAUUUAAUUUGUCAAAAUUACAUCAAAACUUUAUGAUUUUUCUUUUGUUAAAAAAGAAAUUAUUAUAUAAAAAAAAAAUGAUGUGGCAAAUUUUAUCUGACAUAGCGUAUGACAUUAGCGUGAUUGAGAAUCACGAUGAGUUGAAAGGGUUCAAUAGGUUGAGUUUAGAUGGGUUCAGGGGUCCAUAUGACAAAGAGGUAAGUAGAAGAAUUCACAAUACAAACGCAUACAAGUACAAGGGUCCACCAGAUCAUUUUGCCUAUUUUGGUAGGACUAAAGAAAUAUUUGAAGUACAAGUAAAUUAUAUGUUCGUAUGAAUACUUUACCGGAAAAACCCGAAAAAUCCGAGGUUGAAAAACCCGAGUUUUAUUGAUUUGGUUUGGUUUAUAGAUUUAAAAAUUCAACACAAAUGGUUGGAUUUGAUAAUUGAAAAAUCCGAACCAACCCGGUCAUGUACACCCCUAACUCACAUGAUUAUGAAUCAAGGAAAAGAAUAAAUAAUUUUCGUCAUGUUGUGCAAAAAUAUAUAUUUCUAAUCUUAUUAAUAUUAGGUUAGGGGGAAACCUUUUUUGGGUUAUUUAUUAUUUCUAUCUAUAUUUUGUGUAUAUAUAUAAAAAAAAAAUUGCAUAAUAUAUAAACGUAUCCUUUAAUUUGGUCUCAACUGACAUCUAGCCCUCCAACUUUGGAUGUGCACAAGUAGGGACUUAAACUUGUAUAGAGUUGAACAAGUAGACACACUAGUCCUACGUGACAUAAUACGCAUAGGACACCAUGUACGACACAAAUUAUCAUGUAGGACAUGUAUAUCUACUUGUUCUAUUAUAUAUAAACUUAAGUGUUUACCAUUAGUACACAUCCAAAAUUAAAGGUUAUAAAUAUCGAUUAAGGUCAAAAUAAAAUAAUAUUUUCAUGUAUUAUACUUGUUUUUUUAGAAGACUUUUCUUGAGUUAUAAAGCAAUAAAGAGAGUUGGCCCCUCUUAUUUAACUUGAUACGUUGUACAUUAAAAGAGUCAUUAAAUACGUCAUUUAAAGUCUUUGAGUAUUGACCAAAUCCAAGAGUAUAUAUACACCACUAUUUCUAGAUAUUUUAGGAUAAGGUAGUCCUACAAGUUAGCAUAUUUUAAAUUACUUUUUUGCAUAACUAUCCAAAAAUAUACUAUUAACACGACGAUUUAUUAUCGAAAUAUAUAAUACCCAUCACAUGCAUAUUAUUUUUUAAAGUUAUUUUAAUGUUUGAUUUUCUACUAAGUAUUAAUCUUUGUUUUUAGUUUGUUUUGUCGGAUGGUGUACGUAAGCCACUUGGUCAUAUUGAUGUGAUAUAUUUACAAAUAUUUUUUCGAAAAAAUAAGUAAAUUUUUAUCUAUUCUUAUGUUUUUUUAUAGGGAAAAAGUCUGAAAUAUAUUCGAACUUUAGCCAUUCUACUUAAUUUUACUAAUGGUGUUAUAGUAUUAACGUAUGUACUUGUGCCUUUCUACUUUUACUAAUGGUGUUUUGAUUAUUUUUAACUUUUAAUUUGAUUAUUUUGAAUAUUUAAGAUUUGUAAAAUACAAACAGAUACAAUUUAUAAAUAUUAUGUUUUUUUCAUCUUAACAAAAUAUUACUUACGACUCCACCAUAAAAUCAACACUCUAUUUAUCUACCACUUGUAGAGCAAGUUGUUCAUUUCUUUGGUCCAUACAUAAUUGCAAUCCGUAUAUGUAUCCCCUCACACCUCUAAUUAUUUAUGCAUUCAAAUCUUAUUAUAAAUAGAGCCCAAAAAUGCAUUAGUUUCUUCAUCCCUCAAUUUUCAUAUUUCAUAAGUACUAAGUUUUGAACAAAAGAAAAAUUAAAAAGAAUGGGUUCCAAGGCAAUUAUGUUUCUUGGUCUUUUUUUGGCUAUUUUCUUAAUGAUAAGCUCUGAGGUUGCAGCUAGGGAGUUGGCAGCUGAGACUUCCAAUGGUAAGCAUUUCUUUUCAUUUGUUCCCUCUCUUAGGGUGUGUUCGAUAAAAAAAAAAUGUUUUCAUGAAAAAUAUUUUGUAAGAAAAUAUAAGUGACUUCUUUAUUUACUUUGUUGUGUUUAAUAUUGUGAUAUAAUCUAGAUAAAUAUAUAAUUGGUGGGGUUGGAUGAUGACGGUGGGAUGAGGAUGGGGGAAGAUAAAUAUGUUUGAUCAUAAAAUUUGUCUACUUUUUGAAAAUUAUUGGAAACGAAAUCCCAAAAUUUCAAUUAAUAAUGCUAUAGUUUGAUCAUGACACUAAAUAUACAUUCCUUUUGUUUCAUUUUAUAUGUCUCAAUUACUAUGCAUAAAGUUUAAGAAUAUACCAUAAACUUUCCAAUCUUUGCUAAACUAAACUAAAGGCGUGUAAAUUAUAUUAUAAAUGUCCUAUGAAUUUUGUGAUCUUAUGUUACAUUGGAAUUAAAAAAAUUAAUUACAAUUAAAUAUAUAUAGUUAAUGGAGUACUCAUUUUGAAAUAUAAUAAAAAGGAAAGUACGACAUAUAAAUUGAAGCUCAAUUCAGAGACUAGUCAUAACUCAUCGUACGUGUUAGCUAGUUUAAUUAAUCUUCACAAUUCAUCGAUGCAGCGGUAAACGUUGAUGGACAUUAUUAUGGCGGUGGCUAUCACGAGGGCUAUGGAAAACCUAAGAAAUGUCAUAGUUGCUGCAAAAAAUACAAUAUGGAUGCAUAAAAUACUGCUGCUCUUAUGAAGAAUAUGUGGCUGCCCAGACUCACAACUAAAUAAUUAAUUGUGUGUAUUAUUAUUGUAAACUUUUGAAAUUAAGUGACAAGAUAAUAAUAAUCUUGUUACUUAAGACCCUUUGCUUGUAACAAGUAUGAAUAAAGCCAUUCAUUUACUAUGAAUGGUUGGUCAUGAUGUAAUGUUUUGUUGUACAAUAUAUCAUAUUGUGUUAAAAAAUGUUUCCCUAAUGUUAAGAUUUUCUUCUUAUUUUUACUUUAAGUAUUAUAUUCUAUCAUCCUUUAAUCAUAUAUUUCAGGAUUGAAUCCUGAUCCGAAUAUAGAAUUGUCUUUGUUACAUAGUGUUUUACUUGAUCUGAAUUUUUUAACGUGAAUCCAAUUUAUUUAAGGCAUCUCUAAGGAUAUUGAACAUCGAGGGGAAAAUUUAAAAUAUUUAAUUUUCUUGUUAUUUAAUAAAGUAAGGAAAACAAUGCAGAAAAAAGAAACAAUUUGUUCUUUUCUUUGUCUAAUAUUUUUUAAAAGUAUAAUCACAGAAGAAAUAAAAUUAAAGCAUGGGGGACAAAAGACUAAUAAUGUCAAAUCAUCACUUAUUUUUUGAUUUCUAAUGAACACUCUAGUCAGGGCUGAAAUCGAAAUUUUAUGAAAACAUCACAAUAUAAACAAAAAUAAACACAUGAGUAAAUUUUAAUGAUUCAAUAUAUGAUACAAUGUAGUAACUUUUUUCGACGAAGGAGAGUCAAUUAACACUCUUAGAUAAGGAUGGUUACAUCAUUAAUAUUCACGAUCACCAUUAGGGGCGGAUUUACCUUAAGCUCGCAAUGCCAUCUAGCUAUUAGUCAUGCAUGGAAAAUAAAUUUUCUUAUGCACAUGAUCAACUAAAUAAAUAUCGUAUUAUUUAGAAAAGAUUUAUAUAUAUAUAUGCAACAUCAACCAAAUAACUCACAAUCUCACAUGAUUAUUAAUCAGGGAAAAGAUUAAAUAAUUUUCGUCAUGUUGUGCAAAAAUAUAUAUUUCUAAUCUUAUUAAUAUUAGGUUAGGGGGGGAAACCGUUUUUUUGGGUUAUUUAUUAUUUCUAUCUAUAUUUUGUGUAUAUAUAUAAAAAAAAAUUAGCAUAAAAUAUAAACGUAUCCUUUAAUUUGGUCUCAACUGACAUCUAGCCCUCCAACUUUGGAUGUGCACAAGUAGAGACUUAAACUUGUAUAGAGUUGAACAAGUAGACACACUAAUCCUACAUGACAUAAUACGUGUAGGACCGCAUGUACGACACAAAUUAUCAUGUAGAACAUGUGUGUUUACUUAUUCUAUUAUAUAUAAAGUUAAGUGUUUACCAUUAGUACACAUUCAAAAUUAAAGGUUAUAAAUAUCGGUUAAGGUCAAAAUAAAAUAAUAUUUUCAUGUAUUAUACUUGUUUUUUUAGUAAGACUUUUCUUGAGUUAUAAAGCAAAUGAAGAGAGUUGGCCCCUCUUAUUUAACUUGAUACGUUGUACAUUAAAUACGUCAUUUAAAGUCUUUGAGUAUUGACCAAAUCCAAGAGUAUAUAUACACCACUAUUUCUAGAUAUUUUAGGAUAAGGUAGUCCUACAUGUUAGCAUAUUUUAAAUUACUUUUUUGCAUAACUGUCCAAAAAUAUACUAUUAACACGACGAUUUAUUAUCGAAAUAUAUAAUACCCAUCACAUGCAUAUUAUUUUUUAAAGUUAUUUUAAUGUUGUUUGAUUAUCUACUAAGUAUUAAUCUUUGUUUUUAGUUUGUUUUGUCGGACGGUGUACGUAAGCCACUUGGUCAUAUUGAUGUGAUAUAUUUACAAAUAUCUUUUCGAAAAAAUAAGUAAAUUUUUAUCUAUUCUUAUUUUUUUUAUAGGGAAAAAAGACUGAAAUAUAUACAAACUUUGGCCAUUCUACUUUUAAUAAUGGUGUUAUAGUAUUAACGUAUGUACUUGUGCCUCUCUACUUUUACUAAUGGUGUUUCGAUAUUUUUAACUUUUAAUUUGAUUAUUUUGAAUAUUUAAGAUUUGUAAAAUACAAACAAAUACAAUUUAUAAAUAUUAUGUUUUUUUCAUCUUAACAAAAUAUUACUUACGACUCCACCAUAAAAUCAACACUCUAUUUAUCUGCCACUUGUAGAGCAAGCUCAUUUCUUUGGUCCAUAAAAUAAUUGCAAUCCGUACAUGUGUCCCCUCACACCUCUAAUUAUUUAUGCAUUCAAAUCUUAUUAUAAAUGAGCCCAAACAUGCAUUAGUUUCUUCAUCCCUCAAUUUUCAUAUUUCAUAAGUACUAAGUUUUGAACAAAAGAAAAAUUAAAAAGAAUGGGUUCCAAGGCAAUUAUGUUUCUUGGUAUUUUUUUGGCUAUUUUCUUAAUGAUAAGCUCUGAGGUUGCAGCUAGGGAGUUGGCAGCUGAGACUUCCAAUGGUAAGCAUUUCUUCUCAUUUGUUCCCUCUCUUAGGGUGUGUUCGAUAAAAAAAAAUGUUUUUCAUGAAAUAUAUUUUGUAAGAAAAUAUGAAUGACUUCUUUAUUUACUUUUUUGUGUUCAAUAUUGUGAUAUAAUCUAGACAGAUAUAUAAUUGGUGGGGUUGGAUGGUGAGGGUGUGGGGAUGAGGAUGGGGGCGAAGAUAAAUAUGUUUGGUCAUAAAAUUUGUCUACUUUUUAAAAAUUAUUGGAAACCAAAUCCAAAAAUUUCAAUCACUAAUGCUAUAGUUUGAUCAUGACAUUUAAUAUACAUUCCUUUUGUUUCAUUUAAUAUAUGUCUCAAUUACAAGGCAUAAACCUUCCAAUCUUUGCUAAACUAAACUAAAGGUGUGUAAAUUAUAUUAUAAAUGUCCUACGAAUUUUGUGAUCUUUUGUUACAUUGAACUUAAAAAAUAUACAAUUAAAUAUAUAUAGGAAAAGGAGUACUCAUUUUGAAAUAUAAUAAAAAGGAAAGUACGACAUAUAAAUUGAAGCUCAAUUCAGAGACUAGUCAUGACUCAUCGUAUGUGUAAGCUAGUUUAAUUAAUCUUCACAAUUCAUCGAUGUAGCGGUCAACGUUGAUGGACAUUAUCAUGGUGGCGGCUAUGGUAAGGGCUAUGGAAAACCUAAAAAAUGUUAUAGUUGCUGCAAGAAAACCAAAUAUGGAUGCAAAAAAUACUGCUGCUCUUAUGAAGAAUAUGUGGCUGCCCAGACUCACAACUAAAUAAUUAAUUGUGUGUAUUAUUAUUGUAAACUUUUGAAAUUAAGUGACAAGAUAAUAAUAAUCUUGCUACUUAAGACCCUUUGCUUGUAACAAGUAUGAAUAAAGCCAUUCAUUUACUAUGAAUGGUUGGUCAUGAUGUAAUGUUUUGUUGUACAAUAUAUCAUAUUGUGUUAAAAAUGUUUCCCUAAUGUUAAGAUUUCCUUCUUAUUUUUACUUAAGUAUUCUAUCAUCCUUUAAUCAUAUGUUUCAGGAUUGAAUCCUGAUCCGAAUAUAAAAUCGUCUUUAUUACAUAGCUUUUACUCGAUCUGAAUUUUUUACCGUGAAUCCAAUUUAUUUAAGGCAUCUCUAAUUAAGGAUAUUGAACAUUGAGGGGAAAAAUUUAAAAUAUUUAAUUUUCU